UGCACUUCCAUCAGCUUCCGCGGUUUAUAUUUUUAUUUUAUAAGUUUUUUUUUUGUUUGCGAUUUAGAAGUCUCGAGCUUAGAUUUAAGUUUCAGCGGGCAUUGCGCCCGAAGAAGGAAGAGGCUAUAAGCCGAAGAGGCCCGGCAAACUGCCACUCAAGAGGGCAACUACUAAUGGCUCCCCAUCCCCUGGGUCAUCCAGAGCAUGGGAAGUCAUUAUUGUUACUACUUUGUCACUAUGCUCGAUUUUAGUAUUAGUAGUAGUAGUAGUAGUAGUAGUAGUAGUAGUAGUAGUAGUAGUAGUAGUAGUAGUCUUUGUUUUUUUGGCCGAUGUAUAUAUCGGUCCAUCGUCCCAUUGGGCAAAUCGCGAUUUUUCUUAUUAGUGUUUCGACAAAAUGAUUACGGUUUGAAUUAGAGUUGCGAUAAAAUGAUAAUCGCGUUUGCUUUAGA
rnacentral:misc_RNA from 1 species